GUCCAUGGUGGAGACGGUUAGGCGCAGCGAAGGGAAGACAUCACACAAUCAGGGGGAAGGAAAAGGAAAAAGCAGGAAAACAGGAAACGGAUGACAGAGGAGUGACGGAGGGAGCAGGAGGGAGAACUGAUGUCUGAGGGACCUGCAUGCAGCUCUUGUGGAAGAGUGGAACACAUUUCCUCAGAUGAUGAGUCUAGUGAGGAGCAGAACACAUCACUGUCAGCGGUCAGCUAUUGACAUGUCUUCAAGAUGCGUCUCAAUCUUGCUUCCACCAGCACCUCCACAGAUAGAACCUCAUCAUCGACGCGCACUCGUCCACCAGUUUUUGCAGAUUAUCGAUUACAGGGGCAGACAUGAAGAACAUAGUUCACUAGAAAAACUUCCCAUCAACAGUUCCGACCGAUUGUCAACCUCUUGAUCCCUCAUGGCAUUCUGGACUUGCUGCUCCAGAGGGCUCAUGACAUCAACCAGGAAGUCAGAGAGAUGUCCCAAAAAGUCUUGUUAAGUUCAAGCCUGCAUUUCCAAACAGGUUGAAGGUACAGGGUGCAUAAAGGAACCAAGUCUGCUGACAUGUCACUCCUACACCUCUAUCUAAUAAAAAUCUGUUAAUGUUGAA